CCUUGUAGAGUGAAAUGCUGAAAUUUUUCGGAAUUCAAAAGAGCACGGAGUCAUCCAAGAAAAGUGCACAAGAUGAGGAGGUAGAUGGUUUUGUUAUUUUGGUUUUAAUUUGUGAAGAAAUGGAGCAGCACAAGUUAAAACCGGUUGGAGAUGCCUUGAAGAAACAAUCCUAUUGAUUUAUAUGCUACAUGUAAUUCAUCAAAUCUCAGUCUGAAAACAAAUCAAUAAAUUUGCAUUGUUUUAACAUUA